GAGUUUGAUCCUGGCUCAGGACGAACGCUGGCGGCGUGCUUAAUACAUGCAAGUCGAACGAGAAAGUCUCUUCGGAGACAAGUAAAGUGGCAAACGGGUGAGUAACGCGUGGAUAAUCUGCCCUCAGGUGGGGAAUAUCCUGUUGAAAACCGGGUUAAUACCGCAUAACACCCCUAUUCCUAAGGGAAUAGGGGUCAAAGAUUUAUUGCCGGAGGAUGAGUCCGCGUCCGAUUAGCCUGUUGGUGAGGUAAUGGCUCACCAAAGCGAUGAUCGGUAGCUGGUCUGAGAGGAUGAUCAGCCACACUGGGACUGAGACACGGCCCAGACUCCUACGGGAGGCAGCAGUAGGGAAUAUUGCACAAUGGGGGAAACCCUGAUGCAGCAACGCCGCGUGAGUGAUGAAGGCUUUCGGGUUGUAAAGCUCUGUUCUUAGGGAACAAACAAAUGAGGGUACCUAAGGAGAAAGGACCGGCUAACUUCGUGCCAGCAGCCGCGGUAAGACGAGGGGUCCAAGCGUUGUCCGGAAUUAUUGGGCCGUAAAGAGGGUGUA
rnacentral:rRNA from 1 species